rnacentral:rRNA from 1 species
GACGAACGCUGGCGGCGUGCCUAAUACAUGCAAGUCGAACGCAGUGGGGACGGGUGAGUAACACGUGGGUAACCUCCCAUCAGAGGGGAUAACACUUGGAAACAGGUGCUCAACCGAGACUGAUGGAGGGCACCGCGGUGCAUUAGCAAGUUGGUGGGGUAACGGCUCACCAGGGCCACGAUGCAUAGCGUACCUGAGAGUGUGAUCGGCCACACUGGUACUGAGACACGGCCCAGACUCCUACGGGAGGCAGCAGUAGGGAAUCGUCGGCAAUGGACGAAAGUCUGACCGAGCAACGCAGCGUGAGUGAAGAAGGUUUUCGGAUCGUAAAACUCUGUUGUUAGAGAAGCGGUAUCUAACCAGAAAGCCACGGCUAACUACGUGCCAGCAGCCGCGGUAAUUC